UUUAACGGCCGCGGUACCCUAACCGUGCGAAGGUAGCAUAAUCACUUGUUCUUUAAAUGGGGACUCGUAUCAACGGCAUCACGAGGAUCCUACUGUCUCCCCCCUCUAAUCGGUGAAACUGAUCUCUCCGUGAAGAAGCGGAGAUGUACAUAUAAGACGAGAAGACCCCAUGGAGCUUUAAACCCAACAACACCCGCCCCCCUCCAAAUCCUAUUAUUUACCCGGUGAUUGUUUGUUUGGUUUUAGGUUGGGGUGACCGCGGAGUAUAAGAUAUCCUCCAUGAAAAAAAGCUAACUGCCCUUAUUAGAGAAAGACACUUCCAAAAAAUAAUAAAUUAAUUUUAAAUGAUCCGAUAUUCGAUCAACGAACCAAGUUACCCUGGGGAUAACAGCGCAAUCCGUCCCGAGAGCCCCUAUCGACAGGCGGGUUUACGACCUCGAUGUUGGAUCAGGGUAUCCUAGUGGUGCAGCAGCUACUAAAGGUUCGUUUGUUCAACGAUUAAAACCCU
rnacentral:rRNA from 1 species